CCUACGGGAGGCAGCAGUGGGGAAUAUUGGACAAUGGGCGAAAGCCUGAUCCAGCAAUGCCGCGUGAGUGAUGAAGGCCUUAGGGUUGUAAAGCUCUUUUACCAGGGAUGAUAAUGACAGUACCUGGAGAAUAAGCUCCGGCUAACUCCGUGCCAGCAGCCGCGGUAAUACGGAGGGAGCUAGCGUUGUUCGGAAUUACUGGGCGUAAAGCGUACGUAGGCGGUUAUUCAAGUCAGAGGUGAAAGCCUGGAGCUCAACUCCAGAACUGCCUUUGAAACUAGAUAGCUAGAAUCUUGGAGAGGUGAGUGGAAUUCCGAGUGUAGAGGUGAAAUUCGUAGAUAUUCGGAAGAACACCAGUGGCGAAGGCGACUCACUGGACAAGUAUUGACGCUGAGGUACGAAAGCGUGGGGAGCAAACAGGAUUAGAUACCCUGGUAGUCCACGCCGUAAACGAUGAUAACUAGCUGUUCGGGCUCUACGAGCUUGAGUGGCGCAGCUAACGCAUUAAGUUAUCCGCCUGGGGAGUACGGUCGCAAGAUUAAAACCUCAAAGGAAUUGACGGCUAGAGACGNGCGACGACGACGACGAGGGAGUAG
rnacentral:rRNA from 1 species